UAGUAUGAACGGCAUCACGAGGGUUACACUGUCUCCCUAUUCCAUUCAGUGAAAUUGAUCUUCCCGUGAAGAAGCGGGAAUAUAAAUAUAAGACGAGAAGACCCCAUGGAGCUUUAAACUCAGUGUCAUCUGCCACUUCAAUACCCUCUUAAUUACGCAGACCAUGAUAACUAGUUUUCGGUUGGGGUGACCGCGGAGUAAAACAAAACCUCCACAACGAAAGGAACUAACAACCUAAUCCAAGAGCAACAUCUCUAAGAAUCAACAAAUUGACUUAAUUGAUCCAAUUACUUGAUCAACGAACCAAGUUACCCUGGGGAUAACAGCGCAAUCCAUUUCAAGAGCUCAUAUCGACAAAUGGGUUUACGACCUCGAUGUUGGAUCAGGGUAUCCCAGUGGCGCAGCAGCUACUAACGG
rnacentral:rRNA from 1 species